UUACAUGUACGCAAAUAGUGAUAACACAUGAAAGUGGAGUGAUGAGUGCUGGAUAAAUUGCUAGCGGCGGACGGGUGCGUAACACGUGGGUAACCUGCCCCUAUCACUGGGAUAACACACUGAAAAAGUGUGCUAAUACCAGAUAACAUAAGCUUUUGGCAUCAUUAGCUUAUCAAAGAAUUUCGGAUAGGGAUGGGCCCGCGUCUGAUUAGCUAGUUGGUGAGGUAACGGCUCACCAAGGCAACGAUCAGUAGCCGACCUGAGAGGGUGAUCGGCCACACUGGAACUGAGACACGGUCCAGACUCCUACGGGAGGCAGCAGUGGGGAAUAUUGCACAAUGGGCGAAAGCCUGAUGCAGCCAACGCCGCGUGAGCGAUGAAGGCCUUCGGGUCGUAAAGCUCUGUCCUAUGGGAAGAUAAUGACGGUACCAUAGGAGGAAGCCCCGGCUAACUACGUGCCAGCAGCAGC
rnacentral:rRNA from 1 species